UACGGUAGGGUGCAAGCGUUAUCCGGAUUCACUGGGUUUAAAGGGUGCGUAGGUGGGCAGGUAAGUCAGUGGUGAAAUCUCCGGGCUUAACCCGGAAACUGCCAUUGAUACUAUCUGUCUUGAAUACCGUGGAGGUGAGCGGAAUAUGUCAUGUAGCGGUGAAAUGCUUAGAUAUGACAUAGAACACCAAUUGCGAAGGCAGCUCACUACACGAAUAUUGACACUGAGGCACGAAAGCGUGGGGAUCAAACAGG
rnacentral:rRNA from 1 species